rnacentral:rRNA from 1 species
AGUGAACGCUGGCGGUAGGCCUAACACAUGCAAGUCGAACGGCAGCACAGUAAGAGCUUGCUCUUACGGGUGGCGAGUGGCGGACGGGUGAGGAAUACAUCGGAAUCUACUUUUUCGUGGGGGAUAACGUAGGGAAACUUACGCUAAUACCGCAUACGACCUACGGGUGAAAUCAGGGGAUCUUCGGACCUUGCGCGAUUGAAUGAGCCGAUGUCGGAUUAGCUAGUUGGCGGGGUAAAGGCCCACCAAGGCGACGAUCCGUAGCUGGUCUGAGAGGAUGAUCCGCCACACUGGAACUGAGACACGGUCCAGACUCCUACGGGAGGCCGCAGUGGGGAAUAUUGGACAAUGGGCGCAAGCCUGAUCCAGCCAUACCGCGUGGGUGCAGAAGGCCUUCGGGUUGUAAAGCCCUUUUGUUGGGAAAGAAAAGCAGCAGGUUAAUACCCCGCUGUUCUGACGGUACCCAAAGAAUAAGCACCGGCUAACUUCGUG